AUCUUGAUACGGAGUCCUAAUAUUUAUAGACCAGUCCAAAGGAGAAGAUUCCAGGUGCAAUGCACUCUCCUCCUGGCGAUGUUGAAGUUUGAUGGGAAGUUUAGUGAAAAAGGAGCUAAAAUAAUGAGCUGGGGGUUGAGUUGCUUAACCAGGCCAAGAGAAGAAGAAAGCCGAAUCAUCUUAAAGCACCAAUCCUGGAUUUAAUAGCCUACAACAAAACACUAAGCAGGUCAGCGUCAUGGUUCAGCAAUUCCUAAAAGCCCUGUCUGCUUCUCAACAGCUUAUCAGCGUCUGCUUAUCCACACCUACCAAUGCUCAAAAUUUGGGUCAUGUCAACAACCAGAAAGGGGGGAAAGGACAAUUUUAUUUUCCAGUUUUCAAAAGCAUCCUUGCCCUAGAGAUGGCUUAGAUGACCAAGGUGGCUAGGGAAGGUACUUCAUUGUUUCUCAGAAAAGGAUAAGGAAUGUCUACUAUUUUGCUGGAGGAAAGCCUCUACCUUUUCGGGAAAAAAUAAUCAAGAAAAGGUUCCAGAGAUGGUGUAGAUGGUCUAGAGAUGGUAUAUUGAUGUAUGACAGGAAUAACCAACACGGUACCCUUCAGAUUUUAUUGGAUUCCAGUUCCAUUCUAGCUCCAAUGGAUAAUUGUUUGAGGUAUCUGUACAAACAAUGAAACACACUGAAACUUGCUGCAUUCAUAUGAUGAAGUCUUCAAAAAACAUAUUCAUAGCAGGGGUCCUUCACAGGAACACCAGAAGCUGCCUUGUACCAAAUCAGGCCAUUGGUUGUGGAGCUUAGCAUUGUCUCUGUACUGAGUGUCAGUGACUCUCCAGGGUUUCAGGCAGGAGUCUUUUCCGGCCCUUCCUGGAGAUGCCAGGGCUUGAACCUGGGACAUUCUGCGUGCAAAUUCAAAACCGAUGCUCUAACUCUGAGCUAUGGCAUGUCCCCUUACUGUUAAGCUCCUGGGAAUAUUGUCCUGAAUUCCUUGCCAUGUUUUUAAAAUAAAGAAAGAAAGAAUAUGUAGUAAUGCAGUGACAAAUCCAGCAGCCUUUUCAUGCAUGUUUCAAAUUCCUUCAGGUGUUCAAGGAAAAGAGUAAUGGUCCAUAUACAUUUGAUUCAAA